CUUGUGUAUAAUAAAUAUAACAAAAUGGAUUCCACAAAAUUGAAAAUAGCAUUAUUUUACGAGGAUUUCUCAUAUUUUUCUCACUUCCGGGCGCAGUAAUACGUAUGUUUUGAAGAAGUUCGAAGAAUUUGACAAAGUGAAUUGAGAAGGAAACGGAUAGAUAUACGUCCUUGCUAUCAGGUAAAACAAUUUAAAUGAACAGAACAAACACAUUUACUUCACACAAAUAGUACAGGCUUAAGCUUUUUAUUGUCUUAUACACGACUGUAGUCUAGUGUUUAAACGACGGCGGUGACCUACAAGGUACGGGUCAUACUGGGUCAAGUCUAAAUAUGAAAUAUGUAAACAUAUCCACGUGCUAUUAGGUAGAAAGCAUCGUAAUGCAAUAUCUACAAUUUUUCCUCCUUUAUACAUCGUUUAACCAGAUAUAUUUCUCUUUCAAAUACACUUAUAAAACACGGGUUGUAUGUACGUAUCUUUUCUAGUGUUUUCUUGUCCUUAUUAAAGUUCAUUUGUUGAUGUUUAAAUAUUUUUGAACGACUGAACACAGGAGUGAAUGAAUGCAACAAUUAUAUAUACUGAAGACUUGGGCUGUACAAUGAUAGUGUACGUAUAUCAUACUGAUAAUUAUUCUAGCAGUAAUUAUGUUAAUUUAGGAUGUAAUGACAGGAAUUCAUGAGCUAUGCCUCAGGCUUUCUGAAAAAAUAUCAAUGACAAUGUAAACAGGAACAAAACAUUGACACGAAUGAUGCUCUCUUCUAUGUUAUAGUUAUUUAGGUAUGUGUGUUGCACAAGUUUCAAAAAAACUUAAGUUAUAAAACUUUUUUUCAGGGCACAAACCCACUUUAAAGAGACUUGUCUACUGCCAUACCCAUCCUAUUUUCAUGCACCAUUUGCAAGCAAGAGACUGAAUGGUUUGCAAAAUUAAAAAUCAGGACGGUGUCCAAUUAAAACAAAAGAACUAAACUGGAUGAAUAUUGUAGGAGAAAUCUAGAGGAAAGUUUUGAUUUGUGAAAUUGGUUUUCCUGAAAAGUCAUUCAUCCUAGCCUGCAGAAAGGAACUAAGUCUAUAACUGUCCACCACCAACUGACGAGCUAAUGUUGAGCUUCACAUAUGGAAUUACUCAAAUACCAUCAAUGUCUAUGUUUUCAGCACAGAUUUCACAAGUUAUGACACAGCUGUGCUUUUUUUUAUACCUGUUAAAGAGUUGUA
rnacentral:lncRNA from 1 species